GGGGACAUGGGGACGUGGGGAUAUGGGGAUAUUGGGACAUAGGGACAUGGGGAUAUGCGGAUAUGGGGCCAUGGGGAUAUGGGGAUAUGGGGACGUGGCCCUGGGGAGGAGGAGAUGCUGAGAGCUGCACUUCCCCCCUUUGGGGUCACCCUGCGGGUACUGCAUCCAACGGAGCACCCAGGGAUGGAAAGCAGCAGUGCGGGAUCAGACCCCAUAGCAGCACCUCUGGGGGCUUAUAGGGGGUGGGCACCCCCAGCUGUAGGGCACCACCCAAAUGGGGCUCCCAACUUUGGGGCGUCUCCACUUUGGGGGCAUCCCCACUUUUGGGGUGACGUCCGGUUACCGGUGGGUCCGGGUCGCCUAUAGGCUCAGGUUCUGAAUGGUUGUGGCUCCCCAAUGGGUUCGGGUUCCCAAUAGGUUCGGGUAUCCGAUGGGUUUGGGUCCCCGAAGGGUUUGGGUCCCCAUUGGGUUCAGGUCCCCAUCCCGUUCCGUCCCCAUGCAGCCCCACUCACUGCCACUCGGCCCCAUCCCACCUCCUGCCCCUCUGUGUGCCCUCAGUGCCCCUAAAUAUUGCCAUUGUAUGGCUUUUCUCCCUCACAGAUAUGGAUUGGGGCCGGGGGGGCACACACGGCCCCAUACAGCCCCACUGCUCCCCACCCCAUUGAUCCCCACUGCCGCUCUCUCCCUCCAUCCCCACUUCUCCCCCCACACCAAACACCCCGGGUGGGUAUUCUGCCCCAAACGCUCCCUUUCCCCCCCCAAGCCCCCCCUCUUCCCUUUGGGGACAGAAUGGGGACCAGGCUGGGGAGGCCCCCCCCCAAAUCCCCUCUAACCCCCCCUCCCCUCCCCCCCCCAGCCCGUGUUGGGGGCUGCAGCCCCACAGCUCCGCGGGGUCGCCCUCACCGCAGAGGGGCGUUUCUGUCCCGUCCCCCCCCAGAAGUGUCACCCAAACGUUCUCAGCGCGGGGGGGGCCCUAUAAAAUUGGGGGGGGGGGAGGGGGGGGAGGUGACAUCUGGGUGCCAUAGGGACGUGCUGCCCUCUGGUGGCCGCACGUCGGAACCGCACCCCCCGGUGGGGAAACUGAGGCACAGCCCCGACCCCCCCCGGGGGUCCUUCCCGUGCACCGAAGGGGGGGCGGUAACGUACCCACGCG
ensembl:lncRNA